rnacentral:rRNA from 1 species
GCGAACGGGUGCGUAACGCGUAUGCAACUUACCUUAUGCAGGGGGAUAGCCCGUGGAAACGCGGAUUAAUAUCCCAUAGAUCAGUAAUAUCGCAUGGUAUAACUGGUAAAACUCAGGUGGCAUAAGAUGGGCAUGCGUCUGAUUAGCUAGUUGGUAGGGUAACGGCCUACCAAGGCGACGAUCAGUAGGGGUUCUGAGAGGAUUAACCCCCACACUGGUACUGAGACUUGGACCAGACUCCUACGGGAGGCAGCAGUGAGGAAUAUUGGUCAAUGGGCGCAAGCCUGAACCAGCCAUCCCGCGUGAAGGAAGAAGGCCCUACGGGUUGUAAACUUCUUUUCUGUUUGAAGAAUAAGCUCGUCGAGACGAGUGAUGCCGGUAGGACAGGAAUAAGCAUCGGG